CCUACUAGUCUCUCUCGCCUCCCCGAUACAUGUAGUGUACAGCGGUGCCAGUGGAGGUAUGUGUACAGUCGCCAUUGUCUGUCAGGAUUACUGGGGCAGAGGGGUAAUUAACCCUUUCACACCUAGGAGUUAUGGUUCCUACAAUAUAGGAUCCACUCAGUGGAUAUCUUCUAUAUAAGAUCUUUCUUCUGAUUGAUCAAGGAUGGACAGGGACAAGAUGGAGGAGGGUAUAAUAAAUCUCACCCUAGAGAUCCUCUUCCGGCUUACUGGAGAGGGCUACACAGUAGUGAAGAAGACCUCUAGUGAGCGCUGUCAGGACCCUGUGUCUGAA